rnacentral:rRNA from 1 species
UACAGAGGGGUGAAGCGUUGUUCGGAAUUACUGGGCGUAAAGGGCUCGUAGGCGGCCAACUAAGUCAGACGUGAAAUCCCUCAGCUUAACUGGGGAACUGCGUCUGAUACUGGAUGGCUUGGAUUCGGGAGAGGAAUGCGGAAUUCCAGGUGUAGCGGUGAAAUGCGUAGAUAUCUGGAGGAACACCGGUGGCGAAGGCGGCAUUCUGGACCGAUAUUGACGCUGAGGAGCGAAAGCCAGGGGAGCAAACGGG